GGUUAUAAAUGGUUUCUUGCUGACAACCUCAAGAACGCAUAUCAGACUUCCCAGUAUCAUCAUCGCACUCCCUCAUUUGGCAUCCCAAAACUUGCAUCACAGAUAUCCUAUUUUCUUGAUUCUUGCUCCGAAUAAAACUGGGUUUCUUUUCGUUCUUCGGCAUCAUGGAUUCUUCUUCGGGAUCAGAAUUUGAUUAUUUGUUCAAGUUAUUGAUGAUUCGGGAUUCAUGCUUUGGUUGUUUAAUUUCGACGGCAGUAACCUGCGUAUAAUCUGCUGAUAUCUAGGUUUUGUUCAUACAUCGCUUACAAGGCAUGUUGUUUCUCACUUUCUCUUGAUGGACCAGUGGUGACUGCAUUAGGCUUUGGGGAUGAGCUUGGAGUUGUCACACACUCUUCUCCAUCCCUCCCUUUGAAUGAGCAAAUGCUAACGUUUGAUAUUCUUAACCUCCCUCAAAAGGUGAGUUGGUUGGUCAAUUACCUUAAGAAAUCUGCUAAUUGAAUUUUUUUACUCUGAUUUAUGUAAUUUUAAAUGAUUGUCUGAUCGAGUGCAUGGCAGCCAUCUCUUAAUAUUUAAACUGUUCUCACAAACAUUAGGCUAUUAUUGAAUGAACUACCUUCCAUGAUGAUAGACUAAUGUGUGAAGCUGUGAGUAUUCAUCAUAUAAUUUGUUUCUAUAUUGGCAAUGAUAGACAUAGUGAUAUGUAAAAUACUGAUCACUGUAUAUGUUUGUUGCAAUGUGUAGAGAACGAAGUAUAAAUACAAUAAACAAGUUUUUGACCAGAAAGCAAGUUCGAUGAUCGAAAAUAUGUUGGAUCUGGUGCUUGUCCAAAUCAUGGUGGGAUUCAAUUUGUCACAUAUGUAAUCAUGGUAUGUAUGUAUGUAUGUGUUGCUUGAAAAGCAGGUGAUGGACUAAUGAUCUCAAGGAUCGAGCGAGUCAAUGACAAUGAGGGUUGCCCUGUUUUGUUGGUUCGAACUGACCAACCUAAUUGAGGUGUUAUGUGUACAAAUCAUACUUUUUGUGUCACCAUUGUUGAUAUUACAACCUAAAGACAUUCGUUUUGUGACCACUUUCUUGGUUUCAUUUAGAAAAUUCGGGGGUGGAGCUAUAGUCGGUGUAGUUUUUAAAUAGCUUUAUUUAUUUUCUGUCUGUUGCAAAAUACACCACAUCAAACCAUAGUUACUGCUUGGCUCAAGUGGGUUCCACAGGAACCCGUGAAAACACCAGUGGAGUGAAACUUAAAUAAAAAUGGCAGAUGCAAUAGCAAUAGAUACAGGUUGCUUGGCGACUGCACCAGGCAAACUUUUUUCAUCCAUAGCAGGUACUUUUGAAAUUCUAUUAUUUUGACUGCAUGUUUUUAGCUAUUAAUUUAUUGCAUUUAUCUUCUCUUGCUACAUAGGAAUAGUAUUUUUUUGUUGCCAUUCCACUGUUCAUUAUGAUAAAACCACAAUUUUCCGUGUUACUAUUGUUGAUAUCACAAUCUGCAGACAUGACAUUUGUUUAGAUAAGGGUUGUUAAAUGGGGCAAUGGGGCAAAACUUGGAAAAUAUAGAUGGUAUGAAAAUGGGUCAAACAGGUUGAAACACACAAUAAGAAGAUGGUUGUUCUCUUAAUCUCUUGUCUUGUAAGAUUGAGGGAUCUCCAAUUGUGGGUGCAAAAAAUAAUUAAUUUGAUGGUGCGCGCUACUUUCAUAAUGGCAGUGUGAAUAUAAUGUUUAUACAACAAAUAAGAUAGAAUUUUGAUUUAUUAGGUCAAAUGAAAAUGCCAUUUUUGGUAUGAUAUCUAUAAUUUCAAGAUAAAUAUAACAAUUGGGACUUUAACAUAUGAGGAGAAGAAGCAACUGGCAUGAAAGAGAUGCAAAGAAGGCAAGGGAUGUCGAAUUAAAAAAAAAAAAAUCAUAUAUAAUGAAUUCACUUUGAGGUGUAUUUUUUUGUUGGAAUCAUAUGUAAGCUGACUUUAUUUUGUUUUAAAACAUUA
rnacentral:lncRNA from 1 species